CGGGUGAGUAACACGUAUCCAACCUGCCGUCUACUCUUGGACAGCCUUCUGAAAGGAAGAUUAAUACAAGAUGGCAUCAUGAGUCCGCAUGUUCACAUGAUUAAAGGUAUUCCGGUAGACGAUGGGGAUGCGUUCCAUUAGAUAGUAGGCGGGGUAACGGCCCACCUAGUCUUCGAUGGAUAGAGGUUCUGAGAGGAAGGUCCCCCACAUUGGAACUGAGACACGGUCCAA
rnacentral:rRNA from 1 species